UUUACACCACAAGAACUCUACAGACUUCAUUGGAUCUAUUCAGUUUGCACUCAUAACAAGAGGAUGGGUCCCCAAGUUCUAAUUUUACAGAAACCUGCAGGCUAAAGGAGCUGUAUGUGCCAGAAGACAGCAUUCUUUGGGAAACAUGGUGCACAGGACAGCAUGGGAACCAGGCUUUGCUUUCUCUGAGGAUUCAGGACAGCUCUAGCUUUGUUGCUGAUGGAAGAAUGAAAUAAUUUCUCUCUUUUUAAUGGAUACAAGGCAUGGUUCUUACUGUAAUCAAAUACUGCAAGUCCAUUAGAACAGAAUUGAAUCUCUGGGAAGCCAAAUACUACUCCUGAAUUUCCAUGGUACGCUGAAGCAAGCACCAGAGCCCAGCAAAGAAACAAUUCUCUUCCCAAAAGAACUGGCCAAGGAAGGGAGACCCAAGAACCACAACAUGUGAGAAGAAUCAAGAGUCUGUAGUAAUUGUAUUAUGGGAAGGAAGAGAGGAAAGAGGGAAAGAGGAAUAAACUACUUCCUAGCAUGACAGGAUGAUUAGAGGUAUGCACUAGGGAGAACAGAGGGCUUGAUUCUCAGAUAAGUGAAUAAAUUCUGAUUAAAAAACUUGGAUGUACAGUCAAAUUAAGUCUCUGAGUGGGUCUAUUCAUUUGUAUAUACAUCUCUGCAUUAAAGUAGCAUCAGUUUAGCAUAGCUAUCCAGUGGAAACUAUGCUGCACUGCAAUAAUAAACAAACAAAGCCACUUAGCUUUAUAGUCACUUGGGCAAACUGUGCCAGUUCCUACUCAGAAAUAAAUAGGCUGAUUUUGCAUGGGGGUGUGUGCAUGAAUUUUGCAUAUUAACAGGUCAUAUCUCACACUUCAUAUGGUUGUAAAAUCAUGUUAUUAAUUUCUUCCCUUUAGGGUGCUAUGUUACUUGAUUAAAGAAAAAAAUAAUUUUCAUUCUA